rnacentral:lncRNA from 1 species
UACUUCGUUAAAAUAGAUAUGGACGAACCGUGAAAAGUUCUGAAAACUAGACUCAGAGCUUUCCAAUGAUAUAAAGCUCACUGUCUGGUUCGUCCGGAGCUGUUCACAAAGCUCAAACGAAGUUGACUGUCCAAAAGGGACAGAUUGUUGUUUUUCGCAGAUUUGGCAUGUGCGAAGCUGUGAAGCUUGCAGGUGGCGUGUAGGCUUUUGCCUUAGCCAAAAGUGACUUGUGUAUGAUCAAAACCAAGUCCUUUCGAUCGUUCUAAGGUCGUAAACUUCAUGACUAGUUAGCAAAAGCUCCCUGACAUGAACAUAAACUAACUCAGAGGACCUAGAGGAUCCGAUCAUGAUGAUAAUUUUCCAGCUUUGAUAAGUCUUCAACGUCUUUUGCAAGACGGCAAUUGGUUUAAUAGCUUAGGGGGAUCCAAAAUCAAAAGCUUUCGGUAACUCCAAGUCAGUAUGACCAGGCAUGUCCGUGGAGGGUCGGUAGUGCGAGGCACACUUAAAACCACUAUCUCCUUAAUUUCAGACAAUUCUAAGACAUCACACUGAGCUUGGAUGAGCCUAGUUGAACAAUUGAUGAUGAAAAAUCCGCUAUAGGGUCGAAGACUUAACCAGAAACACGUGGGCGAUCCUCCUUGAGGAUGCAGUGCCAUGAGUCACCUUCAAAGGAAGGGACCAAAAUCGGCACAAUAUGCCAUGUUUCUAAAGACGAUGUAAGUGUACAUCUUGAUUGUAAAUCAAUAUGAACCAUAAGAGGAGAAUAGUUUCACUUCGAAAAAAUUCUCAAGGCAUUCAUUAUUGCUAAUGUGAGUACAUCGAGGUCUCAAAUAGACAAAGGACGUCGAUACAACACCUUAGUACAUAAAGCUUGGAACGAAAAUCAAUGUCUAGCCGAUGACGUCAAAGUCAUGGGUAGCUAGAGCAGGAUCUGAAUCUUUGAUAUUCGCGAUCAUGAGGAUGACGUUCUCGUCCUCAUAUUGAUUUUUCAUACCUUUUUGUAUGCAUUCACAAUUUAAAGGAGCUUGACAAUUUUGAACAGUGAUCUGAAGAUCCACAACGGUUGCAUUAAUGUCAUGAGCUGACGUGAGUAGUUUUGACAAAAUGCUGUCUAGACCGGGAGUGUCGCUAUUAGAGCCGGCAACACCUCCCCCUCUUUUCUAGACAUCGGCACGACGUUUUCUACCGUUGCCAUGACCCAUAUUGUUGUCCCCACAUUAGGGGAUAAUCCCAAAUAAGUUUAUCACAUUAGCAUAUAUACAAUUCCUGUUUGUAUGAUCAAAAUCAAGUCUCGUUGGUAAUUCCACACCAACUUGGAGGACCUAGAGAACUUGAUGAUGAUCGAAUCCGCUAAAGAUUAUGGAUCAUGAUGUCACAAAAGAUCAAUCGACAAUAUGUAGUCAAUUAAGGUGGUNNNNNNNNNNNNNNNNNNNNUAGUUGAUAGGGUUUAGCUUGCGGUGUCGGCAUCACCUGCCCAAGGACCUAUCUCUUUGUUAAUGCUGGAUCACAUCUUUCCAUUAGGCCAAUCAACUAAGUUGAUAUCCAUCAACGAAGGGUGGUUCGAUAGUAGACUCAUUAUCCCACGUCCUCAUGUACACUAGUGUAAUACUUUGUAGAGAUAUCUAUAUGGAUUGGAUUUGACAUUGAGGCGUCCCCCAACGAUAAUCACAAUUCAGACUUCAUGAGACGGAUAUGAGUAUCACUGAUUAAUGGAUCAGGUUGUGCCAAGCUCGCUUUCUUCCUAGUGCGAGAAAGUAUCGAACCUAAGGGCCUCCCUUCUUUUGGGGAGCCACACGGCCUUGUGACACCAAUUUUGCCACUAUAUGGCGUCACCAUAUCACCAUCCAUGGUGAUGGCGUCAAAACCAACACUUUUUGGUCGCGCCAUGUCCUUUUGUAGGACAUCAAUCCUUGCAGACAUAUUUGCAGCAUGUGAUCUCGUCACUUUAACACUAUAAGCAUUUAGGAUCAAGAUGCGACUUAGUGGGGACAAACCACAACAAUUCACGUCGUUCCACUUGAACACUUGUGUUCUUAUCUCCCUCUAACGGCGGGAAUAUUGUCUCAUCAAAGUGACAGUCCGCACUUUAGCGGUGAAUGAGAUCGCUUGACAAGGUUCCUACAUAUGCGGAUUAUAGGUGGAGGUUCAUAUCCAACCUAAACUUAUUCAUCUUAAAUGACCCAUCAUUGUACGCAGUGGCAAUGCGAUUUGGCACCUAGAAAUAACAUCUAGCCGAGCUCAAGGAUUGGAGAUCCGUUUCAAUCCUGCCGAGCUCAAGGAUUGCAAUUUCGUGUCAAUCCUGGUACACAGUCACAAACUGUAGUACAACAAAAUUCAAUGAUGGUGGGUCGUAAAUGAAUAGUAAAGCUGCAUGCAAAUAUUGCAUAGCCCUAAGACCCAAUAGAAAGAGUGGUGCGCAUCAAUAAUGUUCGAGCGACAAGCUAAAGUUGCUUGGUCGUAGCCUCGGUGAGACCGUAUUGCGUGUGAUCAUGGGGUACAGGACACUUCAACUUACAUCCCGAUGAACUUCUUUAAAGAAUGGGUAGUGAGCCCGUAGAAGUAUAAGCAGUAUAAGCAGUAGAUAAUAGUGUAACACGUGACCAGUGUGUUAACACGUCAACCAACACCAUAAAGCAUAAAAUGGUGUCCGCAAGUUGGUUGUAUCUAUCUACAUAGUUUGAUGUAAGAAUAGAAUGUUCACUUUUGUGUUAUUUAGCGUAGGAGGGUCUCACUCCUUAUUUAGCUAAAGAAUAGGCUUUCAAAACGAGCAAUGAGCAUUGCAGGGGGCCAAUGCGACAUCGAGGAAAGGCCGGUGCACCUCAAUUGCUUGAGGAAUUGACCGGACGACCUCCAGGAAGUUGGAGUCGUGUUCGGGUGACGUCAAUGUCCCCCGGGUCACCACCAUGCUUCAUGGUGAUGCUAGAUCUCGAAUGUUUUCAUUUUGAGCGGAAGAAUGGAUGUCCAUGAGAAUUUCUCAAAAUUUGGACCAUUAUAUCUCUUCCAGGUUGACCAAUUUGGUCAAACCAAAGCCUAUAUGAGUCGGUGUCCCAAAUAUCAUGUUGGGCGACAACAUGGGAUUCGAUAUUCGAAUCGUAGUGACAUACAGUUCACUAGAUUGACUCAUGAAUUUCUCCAAGAUGCGCUUCAGUUCGCAUUCAUGAGGAGGUAUACACAAAAGAAUUCUUGUUCAUUCUCACAAUGUGUUUUCAAAUGAAAACCAUUAGCAUGAAUGUCUUUAAAGCUCAACAUGGUUCCUUAGAAUGUUGUGGAUAGUUCCACUAUCUGCGAAGCACUCAAUGUCUCUAUGAGACAUAACUACAUAUGGUUCCUUAGAAUGUUGUGGAUAGUUUCACUAUCUGCGAAGCACUCAAUGUCUCUAUGAGACAUAACUACAAGGAGUAGAUAGGCAAGUAAAUAGUUCUACUUGAACCAUUUAGAAGGAUUGAAAGAAGUUACGAAAAGCUGCAAUCCCGAGAGUGCAUAAAAAUUUCCGCGCAGAAUGACCUUUGCGCACUAAAACAGCCAUAACUUCUUCGUUAAAAUAGAUAUGGACAAACCGUGAAAAGUUCUGAAAACUAGACUCAUAGAGCUUUCUAGUGAUAUAAAGCUUACUGUCUGGUUCGUUCGGAGCUGUUCACAAAGCUCAAACGAAGUUGACUGUCCAGAAGGGGUAGAUUGCUGUUUUUCGCAGAUUUGGCAUGUGCGAAGCUGUGAAGCUUGCAGGUGGCGUGUAGGCUUUUGCCUUAGCCAAAAAUGACGUGUGUAUGAUCAAAACCAAGUCCUUUCGAUCGUUCUAAGGUCGUAAACUCCAUGACUAGUUAGCAAAAGCUCCCUGACAUGAAAGCAAAAGCUCCCUGACUAUUUAGCAAAAGCUCCCUGGCAAUUGGUUUAAUAGCGUAGGGGGAUCCAAAAUCAAAAGCUUUCGGUAACUCCAAGUCAGUAUGACCAGGCAUGUCCGUGGAGGGUCGGUAGUGCGAGGCACACUUAAAACCACUGUCUCCUUAAUUUCGGACAAUUCUAAGACAUCACACUGAGAUUGUAAAUCAAUAUGAACCAUAAGAGGAGAAUAGUUUCACUUCGAAAAAUUCUCAAGGCAUUCAUUAUUGCUAAUGUGAGUACAUCGAGGUCUCAAAUAGACAAAGGACGUCGAUACAACGCCUUAGUACAUAUAACUUGGAACGAAAAGCAAUGUCUAGCCGAUGACAUCAAAGUCAUGGGUAGCUAGAGCAGGAUCCGAAUCUUUGAAAUUUGCGAUCAUGAGGAUGACGUUCUUGUCCUCAUAUUGAUUUUCCAUACCUUUUUGUAUGCAUUCACAAUUUAAAGGAGCUUGACAAUCUUAAACCAGUGAUCCGAAGAUCCACAACGGUUGCAUUAAUGUCAUGAGCUGACGUGAGUAGUUUUGACAAAAUGGUGUCUAGACCGGGAGUGUCGCUAUUAGAGCCGGCAACACCUCCCCCUCUUUUCUAGACAUCGGCACGACGUUUUCUGUCGUUGCCAUGACCCAUAUUGUUGUCCCCACAUUAGGGGAUAAUCCCAAAUAAGUUUAUCACAUUAGCGUAUAUACAAUUCCUGUUUGUAUGAUCAAAAUCAAGUCUCGUUGGUAAUUCCAUACUAACUUGGAGGACCUAGAGAACUUGAUGAUAAUCAAAUCCGCUAAAGAUUAUGGAUCAUGAUGCCACAAAAGAUUAUCGACAAUAUGUAGUCAAUUAAGGUGGUAAGCAAUCCACUUGCCUAAUAACUCAACAAGGAGAGUUAUAUGAACGUUUCGAGAAACGCUCCAUGAGUGCAUUCCACAGUACUUUGUAGUCAUUACUUUUUGCACAGAUUGCCAUUGAAGGCUUCUGUCGAUGUGGCAUCUCGGCAUCUAGGCUUGUUAGCCUGGGGGUCAAAACAUAUGGUUUAAUCAUUUCCAAUGAAAGGUUCCACAGAUACCAAGCGAAGAUCCGCCUUAGGCAUCUAGUACGUCAAAACUCAAAGGAGCAGAAUGUUACAUUGCUCUUGCAUACAAAACCAAGCUGUUAUGAAACUCGAUAGAGGUCACAAACGAUGCUUUUAAUGGUUUGUCCUUCGGAUUGAUCAUACACAAUCCGGAAAAGCCGCGAAUUGAUCAAACGCAAUUCGAAAAAAGGCCUCGGAUUGAUCAAACACAAUCUGGUGAAAGGUCGGGGUUGAUCAAACACAACCCGAACAAAGAAACAAGAGUGAUCAAACACACCCUUGACCCGCGAAUAAAAUUCCGGGAUUUGGGUACCUGCACGCACAAAAUCCCAAGCAUAGAAUGGAGAUGGAGAAAGGAGGAAAGGAUUUUAUCCUCCCCGAGUUAUUGAACUUGGAAAAGUUUAAGGUUUCAAAAAACAUACCUUUCUAGAGGCUGCCGAGAGGAGAAAUAACGUUUCGCCUACUUAUACUUCGAAUUUGGGGUUGCAAAUUUGAUAGGAGGAGCAGCUCUGGAUGGGGAAGCUGCUGUCAAAAUUUUAGGUUGAUCGGAGCAAGGGAAGGUGGUGAACCGGUGGUCGGUAGCGGUGGCGGUCUGGAAUCUUCCGGCGGCCGGUUCGGAGACUUUCCGGCCGGUUCUCAGGGUGAGACCGGCGGCGUUGGAUCCGGGGCGGAGAGAGCUUUCUGGGGAUAUAAAAUUCCGGCGGAGGGCAGUCGGAAUUUUGGUCGGAAAUCGGGAAAAACAAGGCUGCCCGAUUUUAGGGUUUUGGUUUUUAGGGUUUAGAUAAAAAAUGGUGGGCUAUUGGCUCUAGGGUUAGAACAAAGUGCAUGAUAACGUGAUGAAGGAUAAAGUGUAGAGACAAAGAGAU